rnacentral:rRNA from 1 species
UACGUAGGGGGCAAGCGUUGUCCGGAAUCAUUGGGCGUAAAGAGCGUGUAGGCGGCCAGAUAAGUCCGCUGUGAAAUCUCGAGGCUCAACUUCGAGCUGUCGGUGGAAACUGUCUGGCUAGAGUCCGGAAGAGGAGAAUGGAAUUCCUGGUGUAGCGGUGAGAUGCGCAGAUAUCAGGAAGAACACCCGUGGCGAAGGCGGUUCUCUGGGACGGUACUGACGCUGAGACGCGAAAGCGUGGGGAGCGAACAGG